CGGUUAUGGUGGCUUAUUAUAUGCAAAUUGCAUAGACAUGAAAACGAAAACAUGUAUUGCUGCUGGUUGCUUCUUAUACAGCAGGCAAGGAAUGAAAUACUUCAACCUUCCAAAGGAUCCAGCACGGGCUGUGGUAUGGGCAGGAUAUGUUGGAAUUAUCUUGCACUAUUGAUUCUGCUAGAAUGCUGCACAAUAAAUAUUUGUGCAGCAAACACUGGAAAGUGAUUUCACUACAGCUGAAAGGGUACACCUGAACAGAGUUGCAGUUCCAUGUGGCUCAGAUUCUGCUUCAUAGUCACUCCCACAACUUCCUGUCCCUUCCUUGAAUCCCUUGCCUCACAAAACACUGUACUCAUGUUGUAUUUCCCAUCACCUCUAAGACACUGGUGCCAUUCCCUGUAACACAUAUUCCUAUCCAUGCACAGGGUUCUUCCACUUCCUUUAAAAUGUUUGCAGUGCAACCAUUACCAACAGCAGUCACCAACUUUGCAGUGACAGAAACUUCGUUUCUCCUAAGCCCUGUAAAUAUAAUUGCUUCUGAUGGGGAACUCAGGCAAUCUUUGCAGCAAGCCAUAACAUUAUCGGCUACAGGUAAGGACAGUGCACUCCAUACUAUGAAUUAUGAUCUUCGUAUCAGUUAAUACCGCCAUCAAUAAUUUUACAUACUAUGUCGCAAAGGUUUGUAUCACUCCUGUAGUUUUAGGAACCCUGACUCUGAUAUCUGGGGUCAUGCCCUCUACUAAAAUCUAUAGCCUGUCAAAAGGUUUACCUACUUCCACUUAAAAAUGUUAUAUCUACACCUGCCAUUUUCAUAAAUCAGUGAAGUCCUGGAAUAUUUCGUCUGGAAUCUAUCCUUCAACCAAUGUUUGUGUAACUUGAUAUUCUGAGGGGUUCAUGUAUCGAGACAUUGGGCAGCAACUUUAGUUUAUAUUAGUUUUUAAGAAAAAAGAGACGAGUUGAAGAGUGCAUUUUGUCAGGAUUGUUGCACGCAGAAGGCUGGGCAGACUUACGUGCGCCAGCGCUUGUAUGUAAUAUACACACUGUUCAAUAAAUCCUCUAUAUUCUGUA